GAUGAACGCUGGCGGCGUGCCUAAUACAUGCAAGUCGAGCGAACAGACGAGGAGCUUGCUCCUCUGACGUUAGCGGCGGACGGGUGAGUAACACGUGGAUAACCUACCUAUAAGACUGGGAUAACUUCGGGAAACCGGAGCUAAUACCGGAUAAUAUAUUGAACCGCAUGGUUCAAUAGUGAAAGACGGUUUUGCUGUCACUUAUAGAUGGAUCCGCGCCGCAUUAGCUAGUUGGUAAGGUAACGGCUUACCAAGGCAACGAUGCGUAGCCGACCUGAGAGGGUGAGCGGCCACACUGGAACUGAGACACGGUCCAGACUCCUACGGGAGGCAGCAGUAGGGAAUCUUCCGCAAUGGGCGAAAGCCUGACGGAGCAACGCCGCGUGAGUGAUGAAGGUCUUCGGAUCGUAAAACUCUGUUAUUAGGGAAGAACAAAUGUGUAAGUAACUAUGCACGUCUUGACGGUACCGAAGCAGAAAGCCACGGCUAACUACGG
rnacentral:rRNA from 1 species